GAUGAACGCUGGCGGCGUGCCUAAUACAUGCAAGUCGAGCGAACAGACGAGGAGCUUGCUCCUCUGACGUUAGCGGCGGACGGGUGAGUAACACGUGGAUAACCUACCUAUAUGACUGGGAUAACUUCGGGAAACCGGAGCUAAUACCGGAUAAUAUAUUGAACCGCAUGGGUCAAUAGUGAAAGUCGGUUUUUCUGUCACUUCUAGAUGGAUCUCGGCCGCAUUAGCUAGUUGGUAAGGUAACGGGUUAUCAAGGCGACGAUGCGUAGCCGACCGGAGAGAGUGGUCGCCGACACUGGAACUGGGACGCGCUCCAGACUCCUACGGGAGGCAGCAGUAGGGAAUCUGCCGCAAUGGGCGAAAGCCUGACGCAGCAACGCCGAGUGAGUGAUGACGGUCUUCGGACCGUAAAACUCUGUUAUUAGGGAAGAACAAAUGUGUAAGUAACUAUGCACGUCUUGACGGUACCUAAUCAGAAAGCAACGGCUAACUACGUG
rnacentral:rRNA from 1 species